rnacentral:rRNA from 1 species
UGGGGAAUAUUGCACAAUGGGCGCAAGCCUGAUGCAGCGACGCCGCGUGAGCGAAGAAGUAUUUCGGUAUGUAAAGCUCUAUCAGCAGGGAAGAAAAUGACGGUACCUGACUAAGAAGCUCCGGCUAAAUACGUGCCAGCAGCCGCGGUAAUACGUAUGGAGCAAGCGUUAUCCGGAAUUACUGGGUGUAAAGGGAGCGUAGACGGAUGUGCAAGUCUGAUGUGAAAGGCGGGGGCUCAACCCCUGGACUGCAUUGGAAACUGUAAAUCUUGAGUGCCGGAGAGGUAAGCGGAAUUCCUAGUGUAGCGGUGAAAUGCGUAGAUAUUAGGAGGAACACCAGUGGCGAAGGCGGCUUACUGGACGGUAACUGACGUUGAGGCUCGAAAGCGUGGGGAGCAAACAGG